AUAAGUGUGUUUUACCUAAAAAAUCUUAUAUUUAGGAACAGAGGGAGUACUUAUCAGCUAGGGUAUCCACGUCCUUCAAUUUAAUCAGCCAAUCAUAAAGUUCUCUAACGCCACGUCACUCCUAUGAGUCGAGUAACUUAUAUGGGCUACAUGUUAAAUGGUUCAUCGUUAAUGAGCCCAAGAGAACUCAAAUCCUGUCACCGUCAUCCCAUUUCUUCCACUUCAUCUGAACUGAUUUGACUCACUGCAAAUUUCCGUUUUGUGUAUUAAUCACCAGAUUCACCACCCACUCCUACUCAUCAAAUAACAUUCUUGAAUCAUAUAUUCAAUUUUAUUCUUCACCCAAAUUCGUUUCUUUUUUUUAAAUCAAUGGAUUAGCAACGCAACCAAAAGCUACCCCUCGGCCGCGUGGAUCCCGAUACUGGUAACGACGGCUGAGCCAUAGAAACAGCCCAAUCAGGUUCAAAAUUGGAUCAACGUCCUUGAUCAUUUGAUAGAUAAGUUUACAGCAAUCAAAGCAUUGUAGCAAGUUAAGCCAAAAAAUAGUUCUUAUUUGAGACUUACGAUCUUUGCAAAAUUAAUCUUUUAUUGAUCUGCCUCUUCUACUUCUUCUGUGUAGGCUGGUUCUGAACAAGAAGAUAUUAGACAUACAAUUGCUAGAGAUGGCAUCUCGACAUGGCACUGGGAAGAAUGUCAAUCAACAGAACGUAAAUCAACGGAGAUCACCAGAUGAUGCUGAAAGGGAGGCUAGAGAAAUGGUGCUUAGUCAAAUAUUGUUUUCCCACUCUCUCGAGAGAAGUAAGU